rnacentral:rRNA from 1 species
AACGAACGCUGGCGGCAGGCCUCAAACAUGCAAGUCUAGGGGGUGUAGCAAUACAUCACCGGCGGACGGGUGCGUAACGCGUGGGAAUAUACCUUUUGGUUCGGAACAACUGAGGGAAACUUCAGCUAAUACCGAAUGUGCCCUUACGGGGAAAGAUUUAUCGCCAAAGGAUUAGCCCGCGUAGGAUUAGCUAGUUGGUGAGGUAAUGGCUCACCAAGGCUCCGAUCCUUAGCUGUUCUGAGAGGAAGAUCAGCCACACUGGGACUGAGACACGGCCCAGACUCCUACGGGAGGCAGCAGUUGGGAAUCUUGGACAAUGGGGCAAACCCUGAUCCAGCCAUGCCGCGUGAGUGAUGAAGGCCUUCGGGUUGUAAAACUCUUUCGACGGGGACGAUAAUGACGGUAC